CUCACCACCAUAACUCCUCCGUUCGGGCUCCGAUCGCCGCACCGUUCGUGGCCACGCGCUCAGCGCGUCGAGCUCAACCUUUCUAUCCAAACAAUUUCACUGGUUCAAGUUAGCUUCCGGAACUUGUGGGCUCAAGCUAUUGAGCAUAUGGGUAUGGUGUAGUUUAAGAGGGUGUUUAUGCAUUGGACUUGAAUUUGGAUUACUUGGAGCUUUGUUAGUGACAAGGUUUGCUUUGGGGCUGUUUGAUUGAGUUGGAGGGGCUGUGAUUUUGUGUUGAGAGACUGCCUUGGGUGAAUUAAGUG